GUAUUGUACGUAAUAUGGAUUAACUCCAAUUGGAUUAAUAAAAAGCUAAAUAGUGUACUAAAAUUUCUCUUGUAUGAAAGAAGAAGGAAAUUUACUUCUUGACCGUUUUAUAGUAUUAGAAAGGAUAUUUAUAACGAAAUAUUUUAGUUCCUUCUAUAUGAUUUUUCUGACAAAGUUCGCAACCACAGAUUGUUUCCCGUGAUCGUUGUGGGCGGCGGUUUGGCGGGCAAGGUGGUGGCUUUGGUUUAUCAUCGCAACAGCAUGGUCUACAAGGAUCCUAUAAAUAAUAUUUUUCUUAUGAAUAUUUCUAUAUUUGUAUUUAAAAAACUGGCGCAAUAAUAAUUAAAUGAAAAUUAAGAUAUGAUUUAAAAGGUACGAAAAAAAGAAAGAAAAAGAAGAGCGGUACUAAACAAAAAAUGAUUCAUUUUAUGGAAAAUACCUUUGAUCAUGUAAAAAUAAUAAAUAUUAAUAAACUCCCCCUUUCUCAUUUUUAAAUUAUUAAAGAUAUAUGCAA